GGAGUGAUGACCGAGAGGCCGAAGGUGCUCCCCUGCUAAGGGAGUAUACGGGCUAAAACCCGUAUCGAGGGUUCGAAUCCCUCUCACUCCGCCA
rnacentral:tRNA from 6 species